CAAAAAACCCGGUUCAUGAAUGAAAUAUAUCACCGUUUUUUCAGGAUUGUUUGGCCUCUGGCUAUGUCAAUAGCUGGAACACUAAACGACGAAGAGAAGAAACAAAUCUUGGAGGGCUACAGCAACUAUGUGUACCAAGCAAAACAACAGAGGGAUUUUUACAGCCAGGAGUGUGCUGACAGUAAACAGCAGUUUUCAUCAUUGGAAAAACCUGGAAAAAAACAUGGACCUACAAUGUACAACAAGAAAGCAGUUUUUCUAUUUAGUGGAUGAGGCAGAAAACUGGGAUAGGCAAGGGAGCUAACUCAGUUGUCAGCAUGGUCCAUCACUGUUUCCAGCAUCAUGGUCAUGGAGAUAAAGUUGCCAUUAUGUCCAGACAUUGACUUACAGUUUGUCAUCGAUACAUUUUCUAAUUAAGUUGAUUAGUUAACGAACAAGAUUGGAAAGUUAACAGUAACAAACAUUUAAUUAAUAAAUAACGUUUCUCACAUAACACAACAGUCAAAAUUGAGUGGAAGUUGUAUGACUGCAUAUCGGAAUUAUUGUCUUGCAAUUUAUGUAAUGACUAGAAACAAUGAUUAAUCUGACCUCACAUUGUUGCCCUCAUUAUAGUUCUGCAUUCAAAUCAAAGAUCAUAAAAUUUAACCAAUCAAUCAGCUGGUUUUUUUUUUAUAAUUGUAUAAAUCAAUUUUAUCAAGCUCAAGAAUUCUUUAUUUGCUUUCAGGUCUUCAUGUUACGAUCUGGUAUUCCAUGAUGAUAGCUGGUCACACAAAGUUUGAUCCAGACUGGCAUUUAGGUGUGUGGAAGCUGCGCUGGAGAUCAAGUGAUGUGGAAACUCUGCAGGAAGUUGCUCUAUCAGUAAUGAAAUCGUCAUGAAAUGGACAUAACAUCCCCCAGUUGGUGCAAGAUGAUGACAAACCCAUUAAGUUCACAGACUGGAAGACGUAUUUAAAACAAUAUUUUAAACCUUUAAAGAACCUUAGGAGUUAUCAUCAUUUCAUAGUAGAUUCUACUAAACCAGGGACAGUUUUGUGCAAGGAACUUUGUGACUCGCCCACUGUAUCCAUUAAUCUACUGAAAUGCGAAGACAUCCUGCCCUCUGUGAAUGAUGUGCCAGUUGAAAAAGUGUCAGUAGGACUUGACCCAUCACGGCAGUGGUAUUUGUUUGAUAACAUUAGAGAAUUCUGUAAGUCAGAAUGCUCAAAGAACAGUACAUGUCCGAAACCAGUUGUACCAAAGUCAGAAGUCAAUAUUGAUGAAACUAAUGAGAUGCCAAAUCAUCCUAGUAAGCGAAAAGGUCUACUGUUGAGAUAAACCCUUACUAUGACUAUCAAACUACUGAAAUGUGCGUCAUUGUGCAAGUUUAAUCUAAAAAAAAAAAAGAAUUGUUUGGAUUACAGAUAUAACGUCACAAUAAUAGGGAUCCGCAUUGGGUACUGUGACGUUAGAAGAUAUGUAACUCAUUCUCAUAAUAAAUUACAUACUAAGUUUUAUGAAACAAUCUUCAGUUUCGUGAAUAUUAUAUGUAACAAUACAUGAUCAUGUGCAAUAGGAACAAGUUUGAAAUUCUGUUUAUUAUGUAUAUGAUCCAUUUUUGUUAUUUUGCAAUGGUUUUAUGUAACUGCAAUGUUGAUGUGACAUUGCAAUUUAACUUGCAUUAUUUGGGUAAUUUAUUACGUUUGAAAAUGUGCCACUAAUAUAUUGAGAGACCUAAGUGAAAAGAGAUGACUAUUCCAAAAAUAGUGUUGCUGUAU